CCUACGGGAGGCAGCAGUAAGGAAUAUUGGUCAAUGGACGAAAGUCUGAACCAGCCAUGCCGCGUGAAGGAUUAAGGCCCUCUGGGUUGUAAACUUCUUUUAUCUGGGACGAAAAAAGGGUAUUCUUACUCACUUGACGGUACCAGAGGAAUAAGCACCGGCUAACUCCGUGCCAGCAGCCGCGGUAAUACGGAGGGUGCAAGCGUUAUCCGGAUUUACUGGGUUUAAAGGGUGCGUAGGUGGGUCUGUAAGUCAGUGGUGAAAUCUCCGAGCUUAACUCGGAAACUGCCAUUGAUACUAUAGAUCUUGAAUUAUCUGGAGGUAAGCGGAAUAUGUCAUGUAGCGGUGAAAUGCUUAGAUAUGACAUAGAACACCAAUUGCGAAGGCAGCUUACUACGGAUAUAUUGACACUGAGGCACGAAAGCGUGGGGAUCAAACAGGAUUAGAUACCCUGGUAGUCCACGCCCUAAACGAUGGAUACUCGACAUACAGCGAUACACUGUUGGUUGUCUGAGNGAAGACAUAAGUAUCCACCGUCGGAGGUACGUAAGUCGCGAAGAGUAGUUAAACGUUAAAGUUAAGUUAAGUUAGUUACGGCGUUGAGACGUUAGCCGACGGACGACGACGAGGGGAGGAGGAG
rnacentral:rRNA from 1 species